rnacentral:snRNA from 1 species
AUCGCUUCUCGGCCUUUGGCUAAGAUCAGGUGUAAUAUCCGUUCUUAUCAGUUUAAUAUCUGAUACAUCCGCUAUCUAAGGACAACAUAUUGAAUGGAUUUUUGGAGAAGGGAGAUUGAAAAGGAGCUUGUUCCAUCCACUCCACACAUCGACCAGAUAUUGUGGUACUUCCAGGAAUGGUGCCCCGCCU